GGUUUGUGGCUCAGUGGUAGAGUGCAUGCCUAGCAGAAGUGAGGCACUGGGUUCGAUUCUCAGCACCA
rnacentral:tRNA from 1 species